rnacentral:rRNA from 1 species
CCUACGGGAGGCAGCAGUAGGGAAUCUUCGGCAAUGGGGGCAACCCUGACCGAGCAACGCCGCGUGAGUGAAGAAGGUUUUCGGAUCGUAAAGCUCUGUUGUAAGAGAAGAACGUGUGUGAGAGUGGAAAGUUCACACAGUGACGGUAACUUACCAGAAAGGGACGGCUAACUACGUGCCAGCAGCCGCGGUAAUACGUAGGUCCCGAGCGUUGUCCGGAUUUAUUGGGCGUAAAGCGAGCGCAGGCGGUUUAAUAAGUCUGAAGUUAAAGGCAGUGGCUUAACCAUUGUUCGCUUUGGAAACUGUUAGACUUGAGUGCAGAAGGGGAGAGUGGAAUUCCAUGUGUAGCGGUGAAAUGCGUAGAUAUAUGGAGGAACACCGGUGGCGAAAGCGGCUCUCUGGUCUGUAACUGACGCUGAGGCUCGAAAGUGUGGGUAUCAAACAGGAUUAGAUACCCCUGUAGUC